UACAGAGGGUGCAAGCGUUGUUCGGAAUUAUUGGGCGUAAAGGGCGCGUAGGCGGUGCCACAAGUCACCUGUGAAAUCUCCGGGCUUAACUCGGGAACUGCGUCCGAUACUGGCAGGCUUGAAUCCGGGAGAGGGAUGCGGAAUUCCAGGUGUAGCGGUGAAAUGCGUAGAUAUCAGGAGGAACACCGAUGGCGAAGGCAGGUCUCUGGGCUGACACUGACGCUCAUGCACGAAAGCGUGGGGAGCAAACAGG
rnacentral:rRNA from 1 species